UCCCUGGUAUCUUAGAUGGUAAAGAAUCCUCCUGCAAUGUGGAAGACCUGGGCUCAAUCCCUGGGUUGGGAA
rnacentral:tRNA from 1 species